GCUUACGACCACACCAGCUGAGUACGCCUGAUCUCGUCUGAUCUCGGAAGCUAAGCAGGGUCGGUCCUGGUUAGUACUUGGAUGGGAGACCGCCUGGGAAUACCAGGUGCUGUAAGCU
rnacentral:rRNA from 1 species